GUACUGCUGAAGAAUCCCAAAAUAGGACGAAACGGUCAUCCUGUAC
rnacentral:hammerhead_ribozyme from 1 species